rnacentral:snoRNA from 2 species
ACCCCAUGAUAUUAAGCCGGCGAUGUGAAUAUAUUUCCCAGUUCACAGCGUGACUAUGAUUGGGAAAAUUAAAACUGCUCUGAUGUGUGUAUGUUUUGAAGUGAAAUUUGCCAUACUUCAUUACAAAGUUAAUUUCAAAGUACA